GAUGAACGCUGGCGGCGUGCCUAACACAUGCAAGUCGAGCGAACCCUUCGGGGUGAGCGGCGGACGGGUGAGUAACGCGUGGGUAACCUGCCCUAUACACAUGGAUAACAUACCGAAAGGUAUGCUAAUACAAGAUAACAUAACGAGUUCGCAUGGAUUUGUUAUCAAAGCGUUAGCGGUAUAGGAUGGACCCGCGUCUGAUUAGCUAGUUGGUAAGGUAAUGGCUUACCAAGGCGACGAUCAGUAGCCGACCUGAGAGGGUGAUCGGCCACAUUGGAACUGAGACACGGUCCAAACUCCUACGGGAGGCAGCAGUGGGGAAUAUUGCACAAUGGGCGAAAGCCUGAUGCAGCAACGCCGCGUGAGCGAUGAAGGCCUUCGGGUCGUAAAGCUCUGUCCUCAAGGAAGAUAAUGACGGUACUUGAGGAGGAAGCCCCGGCUAACUACGUGCCAGCCGCCGCCGUAACAC
rnacentral:rRNA from 1 species